rnacentral:misc_RNA from 1 species
GUGCUGGAUGUCUGCGGCAACUUGUACUAUCAUAUGGUUCUCCUGUUACACCUGCUGUCGCAGAUAGCUUGCAGAAGCUUUCUAGGUUGCAGUGCGUCAAACUAGAUGGCUGCCAAGUUACAUGCUCUGGACUGAUGGCUAUUGGAAAUUGGUGUGUCUCACUUAGAGAACUGAGCUUAAGUAAAUGUGUGGGAGUGACAGAUGAAG